CCCUUAGAUGUUCUGGGCCGCACGCGCGCUACACUGAUGCAUUCAACAAGUUUUACCUUGGCCGAGAGGCCUGGGAAAUCUUUCAAAUAUGUAUCGUGAUAGGGAUAGAUUAUUGCAAUUAUUAAUCUUGAACGAGGAAUUCCUAGUAAAUGCAGAUCAUCAUUCUGCGUUGAUUACGUCCCUGCCCCUUGUACACACCGCCCGUCGCACCUACCGAUUGAAUGAUCCGGUGAAGCCUCGGGAUUGUGCCCAGAGAACUUUAUUGUGAUUUGGGUGUGAGAACUUGUCUAAACCUUAUCAUUUAGAGGAAGGUGAAGUCGUAACA
rnacentral:rRNA from 1 species